rnacentral:rRNA from 1 species
GUCCUUCGCAUUGGGACCUCCAUCGCGGUUGACACUGGAUCGGCCACGCUGUUUUGGUUCGACCACUGGGCCGGUGAUCUCCCUUUCGCGGCCCGGUUCCCUGACCUAUUUGAAGUAACGGUCGAACAUAGGAUCUCCGUCGAGUCGGCCCUUAUCGACUUAGGGCGCCUCAUGUUCCGGAGGCCAUUUGGGCCACCGGAGGUUGCCGCUUGGCAUGAGCUCCUUGAUGAUGUGGCUCUCCAUGAGCCGGACCUGUCGCAGCACCACGACGACCGCCUGUCCUAGCAUCUCGAGCCCUCUGGCCGCUUCUCCAUGAAGUCUCUAUACCGCGCCAUCGCUCCCUCUCCCGGACCGGAUGUCCUUGAUUCUAUAUGGUCUAUUCGCGUGCCCCUCAAAAUUAGAAUCUUCAUGUGGCAAUGGAUCUGUGGCCGGCUCCCCUCGAGCGUGGAGGUCCUGAAGUGCCAGGGUCCCGGUGAUGGUAUCUGCCCCCUAUGUGGGACGGUGGAAACCUCGAAUCACAUCUUCUUCUCGUGCGUGUCCGCCCAGUUUCUUUGGGGCUACCUCCGAGAGGUCAUUGGUGGCAACUGGUGUCACACUAACUCCCUUGAUCUCCUCUCUGAGGUUUAG